CCCUUAGAUGCUCUGGGCCGCACGCGCGCUACACUGGUCGAUGCAACGAGUUUCUUUCCUUGGCCGACAGGUCUGGGCAAUCUUUGAACAUCGAUCGUGAUCGGGAUAGAUUCUUGUAAUUUUUGAUCUUAAACGAGGAAUUCCUAGUAAACGCAAGUCAUCAGCUUGCAUUGAUUACGUCCCUGCCCUUUGUACACACCGCCCGUCGCACCUACCGAUUGAAUGGUCCGGUGAAAUCUCCGGACUGGCGUGAGUCGGAGCAAUCUGACAAACGCCGGAAAGUUGAUUAAACCUUACCAUUUAGAGGAAGGUGAAGUCGUAACA
rnacentral:rRNA from 1 species